CUUAUAAUAUUUUAAGGGUUAAUUGCAUAUUGUUCUCUGUAAAUAUAUGCGAAUAGCAGAUAUAUCUCUAAAAAGGUUCAACUUUUUAUAUUUAUUUCUAUAAAAGUCUUAAUAUUUUCAAAUAUAUUCCUCCUGAUAGGAUUUGUUAGAAAAUAUAAAAAAUUAACUAUAGGUAAAAUACUUAACCCUGAUUAAUUAGUGAAUGAGAUUUAAUUGAUCUUUUUAUCUCUCUUAUAUUAUUUUGAUGGUAGAAAAAAAGAAGAUGGCCGUUGAAAAUUUUUUGAAGAAUAUUUCUUCAUAAUUUUAACAGUUGGGACUUUUAGAGAGACAUAUUUAUGAUGACGAAAAUGUCAUUUCACUUAUCAUCUGUAAAAAAAUAAAUCGUACUUUAAUGAUAUGAUAAUUAUUGGACUUUUGUAGGGACAAAUAUGAAAAAUUAAACUUUAAAGGAAUAUAUUUGUUAAUCAAUAUGCUUACAGCGAGUUGUAUGAAAUUAAUCUUAUACUAUU
rnacentral:lncRNA from 1 species